GACGAACGCUGGCGGCGUGCCUAAUACAUGCAAGUCGAGCGCUGAGGCUCUGUACUUGUACCAACUUCAUGAGCAGCGAACGGGUGAGUAACGCGUGUGAAAUCUGCCUUUCAGCGGGGGACAACAUUGGGAAACGAGUGCUAAUACCGCAUAAAAUCUUUAAACACAAGUUUUAAUGUUGAAAGAUGCAGUUGCGUCAUGCACUGAUGGUCUCGCGUUGUAUUAGCUAGUUGGUGAGGUAAAGGAUCUCCAAGGCGAGGAUACAUAGACGCCAUGAGAGGGUGGUCGGCCGGCCUGGGAGUGAGACACGGCCCAAACUGCUACGGGAGGGAGCAGGAGGGCAACGUCGGGAAGGGACGGAAGUCUUACCGAGCAACGCCGAGGGCGGGAAGAAGGUUGUCGGGUGGGAGAAGUCGGUUGGUAGGGAAGAACGUUGGUGCGAGUGGAAAGCUCAUCAAGUGACGGUAACUAGUCAGAAAGGGACGGCUAACUACGUG
rnacentral:rRNA from 1 species